AAUUGAAGAGUUUGAUCAUGGCUCAGAUUGAACGCUGGCGGCAGGCCUAACACAUGCAAGUCGAACGGUAACAGGAAGCAGCUUGCUGCUUUGCUGACGAGUGGCGGACGGGUGAGUAAUGUCUGGGAAACUGCCCGAUGGAGGGGGAUAACUACUGGAAACGGUAGCUAAUACCGCAUAACGUCGCAAGACCAAAGAGGGGGACCUUAGGGCCUCUUGCCAUCGGAUGUGCCCAGAUGGGAUUAGCUAGUAGGUGGGGUAAUGGCUCACCUAGGCGACGAUCCCUAGCUGGUCUGAGAGGAUGACCAGCCACACUGGAACUGAGACACGGUCCAGACUCCUACGGGAGGCAGCAGUGGGGAAUAUUGCACAAUGGGCGCAAGCCUGAUGCAGCCAUGCCGCGUGUAUGAAGAAGGCCUUCGGGUUGUAAAGUACUUUCAGCGGGGAGGAAGGGAGUAAAGUU
rnacentral:rRNA from 1 species